AAUAGCUCACUAGUCGAGUCGGCCUGCGCGGAAGAUGUAACGGGGCUCAAACUGGAUACCGAAGCUGCGGCUGCAUACUAUGUAUGCGGGGUAGGGGAGCGUUGUGUAAGUCUGUGAAGGUGUGUUGAGAAGCAUGCUGGAGAUAUCACAAGUGCGAAUGCUGACGUGAGUAACGAUAAUGGGAGUGAAAAACUCCCACGCCGAAAGACCAAGGUUUCCUGCGCAACGCUAAUCGGCGCAGGGUGAGUCGGCCCCUAAGGCGAGGCAGAAAUGCGUAGCUGAUGGGAAACGGGUUAAUAUUCCCGUACUUCUUAUAACUGCGAUGGAGAGACGGAGAAGGCUAUGCCUACCGGGCGUUGGUUGUCCCGGGGAAAGGCUGUAGGCUGAGGUGUUAGGCAAAUCCGGCACCUUAAGGCUGAGAGUCGAGACCACUGGUCCUUUGUGACCGGGAAGUGGUUGAUGCCAUGCUUCCAGGAAAAUCUUCUAAGCUUCAGGUUAUAAGGAACCGUACCCCAAACCGACACAGGUGGUUGGGAUGAGUAUUCUAAGGCGCUUGAGAGAACUCGGGUGAAGGAACUAGGCAAAGUGGUACCGUAACUUCGGGAGAAGGUACGCCGCUGAAGGUGAUGAGACUUGCUCUCUGAGCUAUCGGCGGUCGCAGUGAAAAGGCCCCUGCAACUGUUUAUUAAAAACACAGCACUCUGCAAACGCGUAAGCGGACGUAUAGGGUGUGACGCCUGCCCGGUGCCGGAAGGUUAAUUGAUGGGGUUAGCUUCGGCGAAGCUCUUGAUCGAAGCCCCGGUAAACGGCGGCCGUAACUAUAACGGUCCUAAGGUAGCGAAAUUCCUUGUCGGGUAAGUUCCGACCUGCACGAAUGGCGUAAUGAUGGGGGCGCUGUCUCCACCCGAGACUCAGUGAAAUCGAAAUCGCAGUGAAGAUGCUGUGUACCCGCGGCUAGACGGAAAGACCCCGUGAACCUUUACUAUAGCUUCACAGUGGACUUUGAACCUGUUUGUGUAGGAUAGCUGGGAGACUUUGAAGCAGUGACGCUAGUUACUGUGGAGUCGUCCUUGAAAUACCAGCCUGGCAUGUUUGAGGUUCUAACCUAGGUCCCUUAUCGGGAUCGGGGACAUUGUGUGGUGGGUAGUUUGACUGGGGCGGUCUCCUCCCAAAGAGUAACGGAGGAGCACAAAGGUACCCUCAGCACGGUCGGACAUCGUGCAACGAGCGUAAAGGUAGAAGGGUGCUUGACUGCGAGACCUACAAGUCGAGCAGGUGCGAAAGCAGGUCUUAGUGAUCCGGUGGUUCUGUAUGGAAGGGCCAUCGCUCAACGGAUAAAAGGUACUCCGGGGAUAACAGGCUGAUACCGCCCAAGAGUUCAUAUCGACGGCGGUGUUUGGCACCUCGAUGUCGGCUCAUCACAUCCUGGGGCUGUAGCCGGUCCCAAGGGUAUGGCUGUUCGCCAUUUAAAGUGGUACGCGAGCUGGGUUUAGAACGUCGUGAGACAGUUCGGUCCCUAUCUGCCGUGGGCGUUGGAGAUUUGAGAGGAGCUGCUCCUAGUACGAGAGGACCGGAGUGGACGAACCUCUGGUGUUCCGGUUGUCACGCCAGUGGCAUUGCCGGGUAGCUACGUUCGGACGGGAUAACCGCUGAAAGCAUCUAAGCGGGAAGCCUCCCUCAAGAUGAGAUCUCCCUGGGAACUUGAUUCCCCUGAAGGGCCGUUGAAGACCACAACGUUGAUAGGCUGGGUGUGGAAGCGUUGUAAGGCGUGAAGCUAACCAGUACUAAUUGCCCGUGAGGCUUGACU
rnacentral:rRNA from 1 species